rnacentral:rRNA from 1 species
AGUUUGAAAGAUGGCUUCGGCUAUCACUUUUGGAUGGUCCCGCGGCGUAUUAGCUAGAUGGUGGGGUAACGGCUCACCAUGGCAAUGAUACGUAGCCGACCUGAGAGGGUAAUCGGCCACAUUGGGACUGAGACACGGCCCAAACUCCUACGGGAGGCAGCAGUAGGGAAUCUUCCACAAUGGACGAAAGUCUGAUGGAGCAACGCCGCGUGAGUGAAGAAGGGUUUCGGCUCGUAAAACUCUGUUGUUAAAGAAGAACAUAUCUGAGAGUAACUGUUCAGGUAUUGACGGUAUUUAACCAGAAAGCCACGGCUAACUACGUGCCAGCAGCCGCGGUAAUACGUAGGUGGCAAGCGUUGUCCGGAUUUAUUGGGCGUAAAGCGAGCGCAGGCGGUUUUUUAAGUCUGAUGUGAAAGCCUUCGGCUCAACCGAAGAAGUGCAUCGGAAACUGGGAAACUUGAGUGCAGAAGAGGACAGUGGAACUCCAUGUGUAGCGGUGAAAUGCGUAGAUAUAUGGAAGAACACCAGUGGCGAAGGCGGCUGUCUGGUCUGUAACUGACGCUGAGGCUCGAAAGUAUGGGUAGCAAACAGGAUUAGAUACCCUGGUAGUCCAUACCGUAAACGAUGAAUGCUAAGUGUUGGAGGGUUUCCGCCCUUCAGUGCUGCAGCUAACGCAUUAAGCAUUCCGCCUGGGGAGUACGGCCGCAAGGCUGAAACUCAAAGGAAUUGACGGGGGCCCGCACAAGCGGUGGAGCAUGUGGUUUAAUUCGAAGCUACGCGAAGAACCUUACCAGGUCUUGACAUACUAUGCAAAUCUAAGAGAUUAGACGUUCCCUUCGGGGACAUGGAUACAGGUGGUGCAUGGUUGUCGUCAGCUCGUGUCGUGAGAUGUUGGGUUAAGUCCCGCAACGAGCGCAACCCUUAUUAUCAGUUGCCAGCAUUAAGUUGGGCACUCUGGUGAGACUGCCGGUGACAAACCGGAGGAAGGUGGGGAUGACGUCAAAUCAUCAUGCCCCUUAUGACCUGGGCUACACACGUGCUACAAUGGAUGGUACAACGAGUUGCGAACUCGCGAGAGUAAGCUAAUCUCUUAAAGCCAUUCUCAGUUCGGAUUGUAGGCUGCAACUCGCCUACAUGAAGUCGGAAUCGCUAGUAAUCGCGGAUCAGCAUGCCGCGGUGAAUACGUUCCCGGGCCUUGUACACACCGCCCGUCACACCAUGAGAGUUUGUAACACCCAAAGUCGGUGGGGUAACCUUUUAGGAACCAGCCGCCUAAGGUGGGACAGAUGAUUAGGGUGAAGUCGUAACAAGGUAGCCGUAGGAGAACCUGCGGCUGGAUCACCUCCUUU